AUGUUGAGAAAACAUCAAGCCUGUCAAUUGUACACUCCCCAUCCCCCAACUAUCCCCUUCCCCCCCCCCCAACAUUUAGAGGAGUGUGAGUGUCACCGUGUGGUCUCUGCUUCCAGCAUAUUUCCAGCUUCCCAACAUACAGCUGAUAUUCAUUCCCACCCAUUAAGUAAAAUUUGUUCUCUCUGCUGCUGUUUUGUGCUUUUUAAUGUUUGCGUGCAGGGCUGGGACCAGCUGUCCAUGUCUGAAGAACCAUUAAUAUUUAUGAAUGAGCCACUACAAGCAGCAGCGAGCAAGGCGCAUGGAAAGCCUGGCAAUAUGCAAUACAGAAAAUACUGUCUGAUCCCUCUACUGCUUGUAUCCUAGUUUGUUACUCAGCAUACCACCUGUAAAAACUAGUUAUGAACUCAUUAAGCCAGAGGAAUAUGAUCCUGUCAGCAGUAUAUUUUCAUCCUACCGAAUGUAUGUGCUGUCCUGUUUUCCAUAUUAACUCUGUUCUGCUCACUGUGGUCAUAGCUAACUCUUGCAUAACUUGGGAGAUACUUGGUAUUACUUAGUGGUAAUUCCUGCUUUCUUUUCUUAACUGUUGGAGCUCUUUAUGUCCAUAUGUCCUGUCUUUGGCAACCUUUGAUUCACUGUGAUAUUUCUCUCCUUGAUAUGUGGGUGUCUGAAUAUGUGUGUGAGGUGACCCAUCACCUGCAUGAAUGACUAGCUCAGCUCUUUUAUUGCUGUCCAUGCCUUUGCAAAGGCUAGCUUGCCUCUUGGAAUUCCAGAGAAGCUAGCCUGCAUUUGCAUAUCAUCUUCUGAAGACUUUACCUUCAUCUUCCAUGUAGCUGGUGCUCUAUGCAAAUGCCUGAAGUUGCUGUAGAUCCAGAUCAGGACAAAACACUACAGGAUCUUGGAUCUUGUUCUCUAUUUGUUGCUCAGCAAUGCAUGGGCAAAGCUCCUAGGAUUGAAUGUAGAGCCAAAACCCAGGGAAAGCUGGAUUUUUCUUUCUCUGUAUGAGGCUGCACAUGCCUCCCAUGCCUUACUUCUUGUCUUGUUACAUGUGGUUUCUUUGAAAUAGCAAAUGAAGUUUUGCUGGCUUUUCUCCUCACAGCUUACUGCAAAAUCUUAGGCAAAUUAUACCCCUCAAACAAGACGUGGUUUGGCUCAAGGUUUAACAGAACAAGCAUCGAUCCAUUACAAUAUCAUUUACUAUUUCUGUCCAGAGAUUCAGGCUCUUCCUACCCAAUGCUAGUUAAAAUUCCUCGUAUUUACAAAAAAAAAAAAAAAAGUUUUAUUCUGUCAUUCUUUAACACCAUCUGUAUAAACUACUCCUUGUAAUUAUACAUCAAAUGUGCUUAGAACCUAAUAAGAGCUAGCA
rnacentral:lncRNA from 1 species